rnacentral:rRNA from 1 species
UACGUAGGGGGCAAGCGUUGUCCGGAAUCAUUGGGCGUAAAGCGCGUGUAGGCGGCUUGGUAAGUCCGCUCUGAAAACUCGGGGCUUAACCCCGGGCCUGCAGUGGGUACGGGCAGACUAGAGUGCGGUAGGGGAGACUGGAAUUCCUGGUGUAGCGGUGAAAUGCGCAGAUAUCAGGAGGAACACCGGUGGCGAAGGCGGGUCUCUGGGCCGUAACUGACGCUGGAGGAGCGAAAAGCCGUGGGGGAGCGAAACAGGG